UACGAAGGGGGCUAGCGUUGCUCGGAAUUACUGGGCGUAAAGCGCACGUAGGCGGAUCGAUCAGUCAGGGGUGAAAUCCCAGAGCUCAACCCCGGAACUGCCCUUGAAACUGCAGUGCUAGAAUUCUGGAGAGGCGAGUGGAAUUCCGAGUGUAGAGGUGAAAUUCGUAGAUAUUCGGAAGAACACCAGUGGCGAAGGCGACUCGCUGGACAGACAUUGACGCUGAGGUGCGAAAGCGUGGGGAGCAAACAGG
rnacentral:rRNA from 1 species